GUGAGUGAAACGUGCGUGUACGUACACGAUCGCUGAAAGCCUAAUGGAAUCUGCUGAUGGGCGAUGGGUCUAGUUUUGUUUCUUCUGUGAUUAAAGUUUAAUUUAUUCCAAUGACUCUUUAUUAACCGAAAUGGAAUCGAAAGAUGAUGAUUACUGGAACGACUCUAGUAAUAAAUCUUUCAACUUCGAUGAGGAGGACGUGGCUGUUCUUGAACUCCCAAACGGAUCUAGAAACCGGCGAAGUCUGUUUGGUGACGAUACCGCAUCGGAAGUCAACUACGUCUAUGUCCAAAAUGAAUUGCCCUUGCAUUUGGUAAUCUCGGAAGCGGAUCUUACAUCCAUAUUAGAAGAUCAGUCCCGCAAAGAGAUUCCCCUGCCGAAGGGAAUCGGCAUGGAGGAGGAGGUGAAAUGGCUUCGGAAAAAAAUGCAGGAAUUUAACUUUGCUCCUUCGGCCUCGUUCGUAGUAGCCAAGCUUAUUCUAGGAAAAUGCUGUUCACUGGAAAUGUUCAGAUCGUUGCAUGAGAAGGAAUCAUUACUGGACGAAGCCAUAGCCAGUGGGAAUGGAAACGCUAUACUGAAAGUUAUGCUUUUCUUGGAGAGUACAUUGAAGAAGAAAUUGCUCUAUCGAUUACUACAAACAAGGCCGGGUGCAGUGAAUCAUUAUAUAAACUACUUGGCCUUGAGACUACAGGUUACCGAAUGCACAGACUUGCUAACGUACCUUGGUAGACAUCAUGAAGCAAGUUUGCUGCAAUUUUCCAUCUAUGUACGAAGCACUUCAAACAUUGAAUUCAAACGACAAAGACUGAAAAAAAUCUAUUGUGAUUACUUCUCACAGCCCGGAGCAAAUAGUUUUUACGCUGGUUUGGUUGCAAAUUAUAUCAAUCUACUAGAACUCCAAGUGAUGGGGCAACACUCUGGUAGUUCAACAAUCGAAUCAAUGUUGGACCGUUCCGUCCUGGAAACCUUAUACUACAUCUGCGGUCGAUACAAAUGGGGUGACACAUCCCUCCAAACCAACGAAAACCCCUUCAAACUGGCCGAAGCCCACCAGGUAGCGCAAUCUCAGUUUGAAUGGAUAGCUCUGAACGAGAGAGCCAAGCGUCAAGCGUGGAUGGACUUUGACUACAUUUUUGAAAAGAAGACUUGGCUUAAUUUAAAGCAAAGAUCACUUAACAUCCACAUCCCCAUCGACAAGACUAUCCUAAGAUUGUUCGCUCUGGAUGCGCCAGAUCCAGUGCUAAAUAAUUUUCUCGUUAAAGUGGAAGAUCCUCAUCGUAGACUGGCCUUAGCAAGGCAUGUCCAUGCCAAACGAGGAGUAGUGGAUGCACUGGUGGCCUUGAAGGAUCGCUCAGAGUUGGAAAACUUUGCCCGAUCACUGGAAAGUGGAACUGAAGAAAGAUACUAUGCGGACAAUGCCAUUAAAUCGUUGGUUUUCAAGUCCGCUGCAGAGAAGACUCCCAGCGACCGACCGUUCAGAUCUGCGACCUCAUAGGAACUGGUUCCUCUCUUUGCGACGAUGACACACGGGGUGUACUGUGGACCCAACUUCGCAUUGAAGUCCUUCCCGGCGACUGAUUGAGCAAAGCUCCGUUUGAACACGCGCUGUCCGACAGUGAAAGAAGCCUCAUCGAUUGCAUCAACGGAUUGCGAGAACGAUGGACGAAUGCCAAAGGCUCGCCAAAAGUCAUACCCUAGAAUGCAACGACGAUUUAAGCCAGGAGCAACCAUGACAGAUUAACUCUCAGGGUUCUUUCGGACGCACUCCGCGACGACUCUACCGGCAAACCACGGAUCUUUAGCUCGUGUUCCAGCUCAUCCACCGUUAGAUGGCCUGGAUUCAUCGCAUGGUAUUUGGACAACAAUCGAGGCAUCUCCAUCUCGGACAUUCUACCAAAAAUCGGAUUGAAAAAUUUAAAAAGAAACUAGAAAACUG